rnacentral:rRNA from 1 species
AGACAGCAGUCGCCGCGGUAAAACGUAGGGUGCAAGCGUUAAUCGGAAUUACUGGGCGUAAAGCGUGCGCAGGCGGUUAUAUAAGACAGAUGUGAAAUCCCCGGGCUCAACCUGGGAACUGCAUUUGUGACUGUAUAGCUAGAGUACGGCAGAGGGGGAUGGAAUUCCGCGUGUAGCAGUGAAAUGCGUAGAUAUGCGGAGGAACACCGAUGGCGAAGGCAAUCCCCUGGGCCUGUACUGACGCUCAUGCACGAAAGCGUGGGGAGCAAACAGGAUUAGAUACCCCCGUAGUCCCUGUCUCUUAUAC